GAAUCUUUGUUAAUCGAAUCCUCUUUUCCCAGUGACUCAUAUGCCCAUUUCAGAGCAAGGACACACUAGGAAUGAGAAGUGGUUCCAGUCUAGGCAUGAGCUGAAGGAUGAUUCAGUUGGUCCAAGGCAGUGAUUGUUACUGAAUAGAAAUAUCUGCCUCUCUAUGUUCCUAUGUGCUUGUUUUCUUAAACUUCGACUUGGACUCUGACUCAGUACAUGUAACUGAUGGCUGUUUUGCUUCUAGUCCUGAGUUCAGAGGCUAGACCAGUUCUCCCCAGUUUCUGCCUCACCCCGUGGGAUCGGUUUGCAUCCUUGUCUCAGCAAAGCUUCCUCUUCCUCUCCAAUAGCUCUGAAGCAAGCCACAGCUGGCAACAUCUUGGUGUUCCAGCCUGGGAACAGGAGCAGGGCAAUUUGAUCCACUUGGGAGAAGACAGCUGCCAACAAACGCCACCUGGGCGCUGUGGCCCCCGAGUAUGGCUCUUCAGUGUCCUGAACUCCCAGUCCUUCAUCCUCACUGCCCUCCUGGCUUUUUCAUCCCGGUGUGCCAAGAGCAUCUUACAUGUAAAAAGCCCAAGAGCUGGGAUUGGCCAAAACGAUGGGCCAAAUCCAACUUGCCUCCUCUGUUCGUAAAAAAGUUUUAUUGGAACACAGCCAUGCCCAUUCGUUUCUGUAUUGUCUAUACCUGCUUUUGCAUCACACCAGCAAGGGUCCCGUAAUAAGGUUUGGGCUCCAGCGCCUGGUGAGCCAUCGCCCGGAAACACAUCUCGGGACUCCAAGGCUGAAGUCCGGUGUGCGCCAGAGUUCUGCUUAUUGCCCGGCUCGCUCUUGGCACUGGCUCAGGAGGCAGAAAUUCUAGGAAUCCUGGUUCCUCCUUCCCCUUGGCAUCCUCCUCAUCCUCCUCCCUGCCCCGCCCCCUUCUCCACCAAUCCUCAGGCCCCUCUCCCAUCUGGUGGACAAGUGGCCGGUUGUCUCUGGGAUCUUUAUGUCUCUCUCGGGGGCAGCCACGUUGGGCCCAGAUGGGGCUGUCGUGGGCAUGACACGGUGAUUUUGAGCGAAGCCUUCUGGGGUUACUUAGAGCAGCCAGGGGGUGAGGGACGUUGGGGAGGCAGGCUAGGGGAGAGGCUCCCAUGCAAGCCAAGGACUCAGGCAGUGGGGGAUGAGAGGCAGAGUAUCCUGGGUGCCAAACUCCGGGGUGCUGCAGGUCUCGCCUACAGCAGCGUAAAGUAGGGGAGCUCCGAAAACAGUGAUGAGACCCCAGAGCUUCUUAGCAUCUCCUGAAGCAUCCCUGCCUCCCACUGCCUCUGUUCCUACCUUCCUUCUGGGCCCACAGUCUCACGCCUGCACUGGUGCCAUUGCCUCCUAAAGGGCACAGAUGCCUGGGUGAGCUCUUGAAAAUGCUGCAGUGAUCAGGACACUUGCCUGGCUGAAGCCCUUCCAGGCAGAGUGCUUCAACUGCUUUUUGUUUCACACACUCCUCUAGCUGUCUGGUGAGGCCUGUGGACUUCAUCCUAGUAAAAUGUUUUUAAAUGCCUGAAAUAAAAUGUGCCGUGUUCCAAAGGCAACCAAUUAUAUCAAAACACGAUUGUCAAAAUAGUUCUUAAAAAUGACAUCUGUGUAGGGGCUUCCCUGGGGGCGCAGUGGUUGAGAGUCCGCCUGCCGAUGCAGGGGACACGGGUUCGUGCCCCGGUCCGGGAAGAUCUCACAUGCCGCGGAGCGGCUGGGCCCGUGAGCCAUAGCCGCUGAGUCUGUGUGUCCGGAGCCUGUGCUCCUCAACGGGAGAGGCCACAACAGUGAGAGGCCCGUGUACCGCAAAAAAAAAAAAAAAAAAAAGACAUCUGUGUAUAGUAAUAUAUGUGGUUUUAAUUAACGUGUUGUAUUGCAAGUUAUAGCAGUGGGUCUAAUAACAGACAUACUUUGUUUUUAUAACAAUAUUUGAGGUAUCUGCCACCAUUUUCUUGUGAUGCCAAAGAACCACGAUAUCUGUGGGUGACCGAGUCUCAGAGGCUGUUAAUGCUACUGCGAUUUGAUAUUGAAGUGGAUGCUGAGUUUCAGAUAGAGGUGAGUGCAAGUAAAGAUGGAAAAUAUUUCUGCGUUCAAGUUCAUGGAGUCCAACUCACGUCCUUGCCUUCUGCCUUCGUGAUUUAUUUCACACUGCCGCCCUCACCCAGUGCAUCUGGUGAAGCUUACCUAGCUUCCGAAAUGAAUGUCAAGGUCAGCCUCUCUUUGAAGUCACUUGACUCUACCAGAUACAGUCCACCACCUUUGUGCUCCCUGCCCCCAACCCUGGAUAGA